AUUGGGCUACUCUACUUGCAAAUUCGCUACUUUUUGACCGUCAGCUUGCUAUUUUUAGCAAUUUGGAUCUGGCAACCCUGGGUCGACCACGCUUCAGUUUACGAGUGUCUUCUGCCUGGUGACGAUCGCGCUUCAAUUCUUUGUGAAGCAUUUCAGUGUUUUUUUCGGCUUUUUUUGGUUUCUAAACAUAAAAAUAAUUAUUAUAUACCACACCAUGCGUCCCAGGAAAGUCAGUAGUAUGGUUGAGCCAAAGAAAGCACAUGUGAGGAUGACUAUAGCGGAAAAACAAGAGAUCAUUCAUAAGCAUGAACGUGGUACUCGUGUUGUUGAACUAGCAAGGCAGUACAAGAAGUCUACGUCGACAAUAUGCACCAUAUUAGCUAAGAAAAAGACCAUUAUGAGUGCUAAAGUAGCAAAAGGAGUAACAACAAUCACGAAACAGAGAACCCAAACACUUGAGGAAGUUGAAAAGUUAUUAUUAAUUUGGAUAAACAACAAACAGUUAGCGGGUGAUAGCAUUUCAGAGGGCAUGAUUUGUGAGAAAGCAAGACUAUUACACGAAGAUCUUGUAAGAAAAACUGAUAUGAGUGAUGCAGAUGUGAAGGAGUUUAAGGCAAGCAGGGGAUGGUUUGAGAAAUUUCGAAAGAGAAGUGGUAUUCAUAGUGUUGUGAAGAAUAAGGAGGCUGCCAGCUCAGAUAAACCAACUGCUGAAAGCUUUGUUGACGUAUUUAAAGAGUUUGUAGAGAGUGAGGGAUACCUACCACAACAAGUGUUUAAUUGUGGCGAGACAGGGCUAUUCUGGAAAAGAUUACCUAAGAGGACACACAUUACCCAGGAGGAGUCAUCAUUGCCCGGACACAAGCCUAUGAAAGAUAGGUGUACUCUUGUGCUGUGUAGUAAUGCGAGUGGAGAUUUGAAAAUUAAACCCUUGGUUGUGUAUCAUUCCCAAAAUCCAAGGGCUUUCAAAAAAUAUAGAGUACAGCAAAGCCAAUUGUAUGUGAUGUGGAGGGCUAAUAUUAAGACAAGGGUGACUAGCCUAUUUUGUGCCGAGUGGGUGAAUGAAGUGGUUGGCCCUUCCAUCAAAAAGUAUCUGCAGGAGAAACGUUUGCCACUCAAGGCCCUGCUUCUCCUUGACAAUGUUCCUGCUCAUCCUCCAGGCUUGGAGGAUUAUUUGUUGACGAAAUUUAAUUUUGUUACAAUAAAGUUCCUUCCUCCCAACACCACUCCUCUACUUCAGCCUAUAGACCAGAAAAUUAUUUUCAAUUUUAGGAAACUUUAUGAAAGGGCACUUUUCCGAAGAUGUGUCGAAGUGACCAAUGCCACAAACCUCACCUUUAAAGAGUUCUGGAAAAACCAUUUUAAUAUUUUUACUGCUUUAAAACUCAUAGACAAAGCCUGGCAAGAAGUGACUCUAAGAACCCUGAACUCUGGCUGGAGAAAAUUGUGGCCUGAAUGUGUUCCAGAACGAGAGUUUGACGGGUUUGAGCCUGAACCUGAAGUGCUUCUUGUUGAGGAAAUUGUUUCUCUGGGCAGGCAAUUGGGCUUUCAGUUGGAUGGUGCGGAUGUGGAGCAGUUGGUGGAGGAACACAGUGAAGAACUGACCCCCGAAGAACUCCUAGCCCUUCACAAGGAGAAUCAACGAGAAAUAGAUGAGGAAAUUUUUUCAAGGGAGGAGGAGGAGAAGACAUCACCGAUUAUCCCUUCCUCAACAAUUAAGAAGUGGUGUGAAGUAUGGAAAGAAAUGCAAAGUUUUGUUUUAAAGUGUCACCCAGAUAAAGCUGUAGCAGCCCGUUGCAUUAACCAUUUUGAUGACAAUGUGAUGUCUCGCUACAGACAAAUAUUAAAACGUAGGGAAAAACAAGUGUCUAUAGACAGGUUCUUAUCAAGACAAGCAAGCAGAGACCCACAACCAGGUCCUAGUGGUAUGCCUGCAAAACGUAGGAGAGAGAGUACCCCAGAGAAGUCAUCACAGCCUGAUGUUAUAAUGGAAGGGGACUCCCCUACCAAACACUAACAUCUCUCCUCUUUCCCCGCUCCUCACCGUCUUCCAUAUGCCAACAAGAGGCAUCAAUAAAGUAUUACCAAGACUAAAUGGACGCUACACACAUGAGUGGCGGAGCAGAAUGGCUGCCCAGCUAUUCAACACGAGCUGCAUGUUGAAGGCUAAUAGUGUGUUGUGUGUCUCAUCUUGUGCUGCAUCACACAACGUGUCGC
rnacentral:misc_RNA from 1 species